rnacentral:rRNA from 1 species
CUGUGAGGUAUGCUGGAGGUAUCAGAAGUGCGAAUGCUGACAUAAGUAACGAUAAAGCGGGUGAAAAGCCCGCUCGCCGGAAGACCAAGGGUUCCUGUCCAACGUUAAUCGGGGCAGGGUGAGUCGACCCCUAAGGCGAGGCCGAAAGGCGUAGUCGAUGGGAAACAGGUUAAUAUUCCUGUACUUGGUGUUACUGCGAAGGGGGGACGGAGAAGGCUAUGUUGGCCGGGCGACGGUUGUCCCGGUUUAAGCGUGUAGGCUGGUUUUCCAGGCAAAUCCGGAAAAUCAAGGCUGAGGCGUGAUGACGAGGCACUACGGUGCUGAAGCAACAAAUGCCCUGCUUCCAGGAAAAGCCUCUAAGCAUCAGGUAACAUCAAAUCGUACCCCAAACCGACACAGGUGGUCAGGUAGAGAAUACCAAGGCGCUUGAGAGAACUCGGGUGAAGGAACUAGGCAAAAUGGUGCCGUAACUUCGGGAGAAGGCACGCUGAUAUGUAGGUGAAGCGACUUGCUCGUGGAGCUGAAAUCAGUCGAAGAUACCAGCUGGCUGCAACUGUUUAUUAAAAACACAGCACUGUGCAAACACGAAAGUGGACGUAUACGGUGUGACGCCUGCCCGGUGCCGGAAGGUUAAUUGAUGGGGUCAGCGCAAGCGAAGCUCUUGAUCGAAGCCCCGGUAAACGGCGGCCGUAACUAUAACGGUCCUAAGGUAGCGAAAUUCCUUGUCGGGUAAGUUCCGACCUGCACGAAUGGCGUAAUGAUGGCCAGGCUGUCUCCACCCGAGACUCAGUGAAAUUGAACUCGCUGUGAAGAUGCAGUGUACCCGCGGCAAGACGGAAAGACCCCGUGAACCUUUACUAUAGCUUGACACUGAACAUUGAGCCUUGAUGUGUAGGAUAGGUGGGAGGCUUUGAAGUGUGGACGCCAGUCUGCAUGGAGCCGACCUUGAAAUACCACCCUUUAAUGUUUGAUGUUCUAACGUUGACCCGUGAUCCGGGUUGCGGACAGUGUCUGGUGGGUAGUUUGACUGGGGCGGUCUCCUCCUAAAGAGUAACGGAGGAGCACGAAGGUUGGCUAAUCCUGGUCGGACAUCAGGAGGUUAGUGCAAUGGCAUAAGCCAGCUUGACUGCGAGCGUGACGGCGCGAGCAGGUGCGAAAGCAGGUCAUAGUGAUCCGGUGGUUCUGAAUGGAAGGGCCAUCGCUCAACGGAUAAAAGGUACUCCGGGGAUAACAGGCUGAUACCGCCCAAGAGUUCAUAUCGACGGCGGUGUUUGGCACCUCGAUGUCGGCUCAUCACAUCCUGGGGCUGAAGUAGGUCCCAAGGGUAUGGCUGUUCGCCAUUUAAAGUGGUACGCGAGCUGGGUUUAGAACGUCGUGAGACAGUUCGGUCCCUAUCUGCCGUGGGCGCUGGAGAACUGAGGGGGGCUGCUCCUAGUACGAGAGGACCGGAGUGGACGCAUCACUGGUGUUCGGGUUGUCAUGCCAAUGGCACUGCCCGGUAGCUAAAUGCGGAAGAGAUAAGUGCUGAAAGCAUCUAAGCACGAAACUUGCCCCGAGAUGAGUUCUCCCUGACCCUUUAAGGGUCCUGAAGGAACGUUGAAGACGACGACGUUGAUAGGCCGGGUGUGUAAGCGCAGCGAUGCGUUGAGCUAACCGGUACUAAUGAACCGUGAGGCUUAACCUUACAACGCCGAAG